AAUUCCCUCGGGGGUUUAGUUUUUUGAGCUCCAUGCUCAGGGACUUUGAUUCUUCCACUGGUGACACUUAUAGAAGCCUUUGCUGUCCUCCCAAGGAUUGCUACUACCGACUAUAAAUAAUAUGUAGCUUAGCGCAAGUCAGAUACUCUGGCAACAUGACCGAAUUGCGGGGAACCCCUAAAACCUGUGCCACUAACUUACUCAAGAAAUUGUGUAAGGGCCUAUGCGAAAAUCAUAGGGUAUAGUAAAAGUGCACCGCGAUGAUCUAGUUAAAAUCUAGUGAAAUGGGCAAUCCGCAGCGAAGCCUCUAACGCCAUAUGGUUAUGAGGACCGUUCACAGACUAAGUGGUUAUGGGUGGGAUUCAAAUUCCAUCUAAGAUAUAGUCGGGCCUCUCAAGAAACUGAGAGGGUAAGUCACGUAAAGUACAAAAUACGAUCCUAUUGGUUCAGUCCUAUUGUACUUUGAACAAAUAUACCGUUCCGUAGGUGAACCUGCGGAAGGAUCAUUA
rnacentral:rRNA from 1 species